CUUACUAGCUGGUGAUUGCAUGGAGUUCGGAUAUUGUUAGUAGUAGUGAAUGGAUUGACAGUGAACGCGUCAAGAUAACAGUGUGUGUGUGUGUGUGUAAAGACGGCUCCCUACUUAAUGAAUCAGUUUCCCUACCUAUAUUUCUAACAAAAGUGCCAAAAGAAAUGUUUUCACGAUAUGGUGUAUCGUGAAACAUUUCUGCCCGCACCCCGACUAUUUUCAAGAGGCUGUAGUUGAAAUUACACGAGUUUUAAGAGUGUUUCUGUGGUUAUAGUGACACAUUGGUAAGGCUCUACAGCAUCAACGGGAGGAGCAGUCUUGAAAACCCGGAUAAUUAUCUCUGUGGCCUUUGAAAAUAGUCUGGUGAGAGAGCAAAGCUUUUCAGAAUACAGGCACAUAACCUUGCUUCAUGAAAAAUAAGUGCAUUCAUGAUACCUGAGACUGCCUUGUUACAUUCCCCCAAUGUCUGUAAUGGAUCUUUUUUUUUUAUCUCGUAGCAUUAGCCUGUCUCUCAUUGGUGAAAACAGCCACGCUACAUGUAAUGCGUUAUUUCAUUAGCCUCAAGUCGUUAUUUCAAGUCUACAUAAGCCUCAAUAAAUACGAGAGCUGUUGUGUUGGCCUGCUUCCCGUCUGCCAAUCAGAGCGUUCUAUUUGUCCCUUUUACUUUUUACUCUUCGUACAGCUCAUUUAUCCCUCAUUUGUCCUUACUUCUUGCCCCACAGUGUAUUGGUAAGUGUCUUCUACUGCUAAUAUAACCGUGAUUCUAUUAUUUUGUAUCAUUACAAGUAGUAUUGCGAGAGUGGCUCUGUUCUUAGUGACAAUUACCUCAGCAUAGCCUCCACCAAUCAGCACCAAGUAUUCAAGUCACGUGAUACUCUCUCCUCGCCGUCUCCUCAGCCAUUCGCCCUGCGCCCGCUGACGUGAUGGGUCUCCGGUUGUGUUACGGCGGUGAAGUGGUGUUGCGUCUGUCCUUGGCGGGCAUGUUGUGGUGGACUGCGGUGUGGAGGGAGAGGUGGAUGCCUUCUCUCCUCUUCCCUCCCUCUCCGCUCCCUUCCUAGCCUGCCCGCCACCCUCUCCCCGCUUUUCCCUGCCUGUCCUCCCCUGCUCCUCGUGUCCCAGAUAAAUUGUUAUCUUUCCAAGGGUUGAGGAGAACAUGGUCGUAGUUCAAGUGAAGCCACUACAGCCACUCCCUGACAAGCCUUCCACACCGACAGUGGCAGCAGACACACAAGAGAGGAUGGUGUGGUGGACAAGAGGAUGCAGGGAGACGGCAGACAGAAUGGAAGCUACAGAUAAAAGAAGAGCAGGUCAAGCCAUGGCAGCAGACAGACACAUAGACAGACAGAUUGGAUAAGAAAGAAGUAUUAUUUAGUGAGGUCUGGGCGGUUUGGAAGUCUCACUACAAACAGAAGACCCGUUCACUUGAAGGACACAGUUGGAGUCGGACACAAGAUCCAAGAGGGAGUCAUUUUAAACGAGAGCUUCAGGCAGAAAAUUCGAGUGGAUUUUCAUCUCUAAAAAUAACUUAUCCAUAUUUUGAACCUUCUCUAUCUUGAAAAAUAACUCCAGAUAUUAUGACUCUAGCUGGAAGUUGACCUGAGCAAUGUAGGGUUUGCUGCUGUGAGAUUACCAAGGCACAAGUGUCUGGGAUUUAAAGAUGAUGGAUAUGUAUCCUGUGUGCUGCUGUGUUGGGAGGAGAGGAGCAGCAGCAGUCGUGGGGCUCUGCUGCUGCUGUCACUGGUGCAGCUGUUCACUCCUGCAGCUACCUUCCCUCAACAUACUGUGUCUUCCCUCACCUGCAAUGAACAACUAUGAACAAUACUUCUCCUGCGAUGAGGAACAGUGAAUAACACCUCUCUCUCUCUCUCUCUCUCUCUCUCUCUCUCUCUCUCUCUCUCUCUCUCUCUC